rnacentral:rRNA from 1 species
AACGAACGCUGGCGGCAUGCCUAACACAUGCAAGUCGAACGAGACCUUCGGGUCUAGUGGCGCACGGGUGCGUAACGCGUGGGAACCUGCCCUUAGGUUCGGAAUAACUCCCCGAAAGGGGUGCUAAUACCGGAUAAUGUCUUCGGACCAAAGAUUUAUCGCCUUUGGAUGGGCCCGCGUUGGGUUAGCUAGUUGGUAGGGUAAAAGCCUUCCAAGGCGACGAUCCAUAGCUGGUCUGAGAGGAUGAUCAGCCACACUGGGACUGAGACACGGCCCAGACUCCGACGGGAGGGAGCAGUGGGGAAUAUUGGACAACGGGCGAAAGCCUGAUCCAGCAAUGCCGCGUGAGUGAUGAAGGCCUUAGGGUUGUAAAGCUCUUUUAACAAGGAUGAUAAUGACAGUACCGGGAGAAUAAGCUCCGGCUAACUCCGUG